CGGGGUGUAGCGCAGUUGGCUAGCGCGCUUGCCUUGGGAGCAAGAAGCCGAAGGUUCGAGUCCUUUCACCCCGA
rnacentral:tRNA from 1 species